GCCGCGGAAGCUGAAAAGGCAUAGCGUCCGGUUGAAAACCGGGAGGUCUCCGUUCGAUUCGGAGCCGCGGCA
rnacentral:tRNA from 1 species